rnacentral:tRNA from 1 species
GGGCCCGUAGGGAAAUGGCAUUCUGAGACCUUUAACAAGUCCUCGUUGCGGGUUCAAAUCCCGUCGGGUCCA